rnacentral:rRNA from 1 species
GAUGAACGCUGGCGGCGUGCCUAAUACAUGCAAGUCGAGCGAACAGAUGAGGAGCUUGCUCCUCUGACGUUAGCGGCGGACGGGUGAGUAACACGUGGAUAACCUACCUAUAAGACUUGGAUAACUUCGGGAAACCGGAGCUAAUACCGGAUAAUAUAUUUAACCGCAUGGUUCAAUAGUGAAAGACGGUUUUGCUGUCACUUAUAGAUGGAUCCGCGCCGCAUUAGCUAGUUGGUAAGGUAACGGCUUACCAAGGCAACGAUGCGUAGCCGACCUGAGAGGGUGAUCGGCCACACUGGAACUGAGACACGGUCCAGACUCCUACGGGAGGCAGCAGUAGGGAAUCGUCCGCAAUGGGCGAAAGCCUGACGGAGCAACGCCGCGUGAGUGAUGAAGGUCUUCGGAUCGUAAAACUCUGUUAUUAGGGAAGAACAAAUGUGUAAGUAACUAUGCACGUCUUGACGGUACCUAAUCAGAAAGCCACGGCUAACUACGUG